rnacentral:rRNA from 1 species
CAGCCGCCGCGGGAAUACGGAGGGUGCAAGCGUUAAUCGGAAUUACUGGGCGUAAAGCGCACGCAGGCGGUUUCUUAAGUCUGAUGUGAAAGCCCCCGGCUCAACCGGGGAGGGUCAUUGGAAACUGGGAAACUUGAGUGCAGAAGAGGAGAGUGGAAUUCCACGUGUAGCGGUGAAAUGCGUAGAGAUGUGGAGGAACACCAGUGGCGAAGGCGACUCUCUGGUCUGUAACUGACGCUGAGGAGCGAAAGCGUGGGGAGCGAACAGGAUUAGAUACCCGCGUAGUCCCUGUCUCUUAUAC